rnacentral:rRNA from 1 species
UGCUGCAGCUAACGCAUUAAGCACUCCGCCUGGGGAGUACGACCGCAAGGUUGAAACUCAAAGGAAUUGACGGGGGCCCGCACAAGCGGUGGAGCAUGUGGUUUAAUUCGAAGCAACGCGAAGAACCUUACCAGGUCUUGACAUCCUUUGACCACUCUGGAGACAGAGCUUUCCCUUCGGGGACAAAGUGACAGGUGGUGCAUGGUUGUCGUCAGCUCGUGUCGUGAGAUGUUGGGUUAAGUCCCGCAACGAGCGCAACCCUUGAUUUUAGUUGCCAGCAUUUAGUUGGGCACUCUAAAGUGACUGCCGGUGCAAGCCGGAGGAAGGUGGGGAUGACGUCAAAUCAUCAUGCCCCUUAUGACCUGGGCUACACACGUGCUACAAUGGAUAGUACAAAGGGUCGCGAAGCCGCGAGGUGGAGCUAAUCCCAUAAAACUAUUCUCAGUUCGGAUUGUAGGCUGCAACUCGCCUACAUGAAGCCGGAAUCGCUAGUAAUCGUGGAUCAGCAUGCCACGGUGAAUACGUUCCCGGGCCUUGUACACACCGCCCGUCACACCACGAGAGUUUGUAACACCCGAAGUCGGUAGGGUAACCUUUAUGGAGCCAGCCGCCGAAGGUGGGACAGAUAAUUGGGGUGAAGUCGUAACAAGGUAGCCGUAUCGGAAGGUGCGGCUGGAUCACCUCCUUUCUAAGGAA